rnacentral:rRNA from 2 species
CCCGGUGGCGUUGCCGGAGGGGCCACACCCGUUCCCAUCCCGAACACGGAAGUUAAGCCCUCCUGGGCCGAUGGUACUGCGCUGGCAACGGCGUGGGAGAGUAGGUCGCUGCCGGGG